AUGGCUGAAGCUUCCCGGCGAGCCGGCGGCUCAUCCUCAGGUGACAUCUCGCCGGCCGUCUGCACCGACACGCAGCCACCACUGGCUGCCGGCGUCCAACGCGACGCGAACUUCAUCAAGGACGAGAUGGAGGUCAUGAACGGCUUCCUCCGCCACCUUGCCAGGACCCAGCAGCUGGCUCCUAGCGCUGGGCACCCUGAUGACGAAGACAACGACGAGGUUCAGGCAUGGGCUAGGCAGGUCAGGGACCUCGCCGGCGACUCCCGAGACUGCAUCAACCUCUACCGGCACACAGGGCCCCGCCGUGCAAAGGGGCUCCUGCGCUACGUGCGAAUGCCAUGGUUCCUUGGAGGGUGCGCCACCAUCCCUCGCAGCCGCAGCACCAUCGCCAAGCAUAUCCGGGAGCUCAAGGUCCGGGUGCAGGAGGCAGGCGAGAGACGGCUGAGGUACGGCAUCGCCGUGCCGCCGCCACCGCCUGCCAUCACGCAAACUUCUACUACCAUGGCGAUGGUCAGCAGAUGGCCGCCACUCCGCAAUGUCCAAGAAUCAAAAGACCACGAAGACGACGACGACGAGAGAGGUGCUUUCAGACGAGCUCUGAUCGAUGCCGAGCCAAACAUCUUGGAGGAAGGUGCAGCAGAGCUGAUCACCUGGCUAGGCAAGAAAGGAGACGGUGACGAGGCCGGAGGGCGGCCGUUGAGACUCACUGUCAUUCUAGCACCAGAUGAUGCAGAAGGUACCGGCCUAGCUCAGCAAGUGUACCAAGAUCCUUCGGUGUCCGGCGGCUUCGACAUCAACGUAUGGAUCACCAUCCAGAGGCCUCCAAUCCUCUGGCAGAUAUUCCAUGACCUGCUCUGCAAGCUCCUUCCUGACCAAAACCAGGACGUGCUGGACGACACAUCAUCAGACAACAUGAAGCUGCUGUGGAGCAUCCGAGGCCGCUUGGAAGGCAGAAGGGUCCUGAUUGUUCUCGACGACCUCGACGAUUACCCGGGCAUGUGGGACCAGAUCAGGAUUGCUCUCAACUUCAUAAGCCUCCCUGUUGGCAGCGCCAUCAUGGUGACCACAAAGGAUGAUGGGCUUGUCAAGUCAUCUUCUCCGGAUAAAGUGGUAACAUAUUCCCUUGUGGAUUUCUUCUCCAAGAGAGCAGUGGCCCUUGUAGCCAGCAAUUUUCAGGAUGGCGAUGUGCGGGGCACCAUACGCGGCAUACUCAAGAGAUGCGACCCGGAUGUCGCUUCCAUGAAGAUGUUCCUCCAUACCUUGUAUGGCAACCCUAACAGGACAAAACAAGAGCUGGAGAAGCUGCAGGAAAGCCUGUGUUCAGAGGCCGACCACAACGAUAGCAGCUAUAACUUCAAGCAGAUGGUUAUGUUUUCCUACAGUGACAUGCCUAGAGAGUGCCAGUUGUGCUUCCUGCACCUAUGUCUUCUCCUCCCACAAGAUCACAGCAUCAGGAGGACAUCCCUAGUGAGAAGAUGGGCAGCCCAAGGCCUGAUAUCUGCGGAAGGCGGUCAUGGUUCAGCAGAAGCGGCAGCCGAGCGCUGCUUCAGUGCAUUUGUCAGCCGAGGCCUCAUUUGCCCUGCUGACAUUGGUGAUGCGGGCAAGAUCAAGACUUGUGUGGUGCCUCCUGCGGUGCAUCGCCUCAUCACUGAGGUUGCAGAAGAAGAGAAUGUCGUCCGUGUCGGCUCCACGAUCUGCAAUGCACAUCUUGGUGACAUCAAGAGGUGCCUGGGAUCACUGCCCGUGUCAUCUCAACUGCUGCUGCUGAAGGUGCUCGAUCUAGAAGGCUGCAAAGGCUUGGAGAGGCGCCAUCUGAACAACAUCUGCAAGCUGUUCAUGCUCAAGUAUUUGAGCCUCAGGAACACUGAUGUUUCUGCGCUGCCCAAGCAAAUCCAUAGGCUGCAGCAGCUGGAGACGCUGGACAUUCGGCAAACCAAGAUACAAGCCUUCCCCACAGAUUUCGCCAAGCUCCUGAUGCUCAAGCAUCUGCUCGCAGGGCGCACAGACUUCUCCUCCCCGGUCAAGGACACCAUCAACUCCAAGGAAUCAUUUUCCACGCCGCGCAUGCCACAAGGAAUCGGGGCCAUGAGGAGGAACCUGGAGAUACUGUCACAUGUACAGGUCUCCGGGAGUGGCAGUGAGUCGAUGCUCAUGGAUGUUGGGCAGCUAGUCAAGGUACAGAAGCUAGGAGUUGUUCUCCAUGGCAAGAAGGUCGGCAACUCCUUCAAGCAUCUGCUCCAAGCAAUCAGCAAGCUGAACGGAUGCCUUCGCUCUUUGUCGAUCCGAAUCGGACAUCCUGGCGAUGUGACCGAUCCUCUUACAUUCAGCAUGGAUCAAGAGAAUCCAUUUUCACCUCCCGAGUUUCUCCAGAGCCUGUACAUCAGUGGCCUCACAGGCGUUGGGCUGCCUCCAUGGAUCACAGAGCUCCAUCAACUUGGCAAGAUAACCCUACGUGACACCUCCCUGAUGGAUCAUGACAUACGGCUCCUCGGCGAACUCGGUGGCCUGCGCUGCCUUAGACUCCGACAUAUGUCCUACGCUGAAAUGAAGAUCACUUUUGGGAAAGGAGGAUUCCCAAGCCUCAAGUGUCUGAUCAUCGAAGGCUCUGACAUCACCAACAUCAUCUUUGAGAGUGGAGCGGCGCCUGGGCUGGAGAAGAUAGCUUGGGGUUUCAAGAGCAUGCAGUUCAUCUCCGGAAUCGGCCAUCUCCCAAGGCUGAAAGAGCUCGAGCUCAGUGGCAGCUGCAACCCAGACCCGGUGAAGCAGGCCGUCGCAGCACACCCAAGCCAUCCCGUCUUCAAGCACAACGCCUGA
rnacentral:rRNA from 1 species